rnacentral:rRNA from 1 species
UGAGGAAUAUUGCGCAAUGGGGGAAACCCUGACGCAGCCAUGCCGCGUGAGUGAAGAAGGCCCUAGGGUUGUAAAGCUCUUUCAGAUGUGAAGAUGAUGACGGUAACAUCAGAAGAAGCUCCGGCUAACUUCGUGCCAGCAGCCGCGGUAAUACGAAGGGAGCGAGCGUUGUUCGGAAUCACUGGGCGUAAAGAGUACGUAGGCUGAUAAGAAAGUCAGAUGUGAAAGCCCAGGGCUCAACCCUGGAACUGCAUUUGAAACUUCUUGUCUAGAAUUUGGUAGAGGACAACGGAAUUCCGAGUGUAGAGGUGAAAUUCGCAGAUAUUCGGAGGAACACCAGUUGCGAAGGCGGUUGUCUGGGCCAAUAUUGACGCUGAGGUACGAAAGCGUGGGGAGCAAACAGGAUUAGAUACCCCCGUAGUCC